GUCCUAGGUUCUGUGGUUUAACCCACAGCGCCACCCGUGUUCCCUACUUUCUAUAUACUGUGCAUAAUUUUGUACAUAGUUUUAUGUCAUCCCUUGCUUGCCUUUUUUUCCCUAAACUAAAAAACUGAAAUGUUGUAACUUCUCACUUCCAGCCCCAUGCUCAUUUUGACUGACGUUUUCUGACGCUCUUCCAGUUCUACAAUAUUCUUUUUUUGAGAUGUAGCAAUCACACAGCGCAGUGCAGGCACAUCAGAGCUGUCACACCCUGGGUCAACAUCUUCAUCAUCCUACCUACUAUGACUCCAACUUCUCAUUGCCUGGCGGAUGAGUGAGAUCUGCAAAGACUGCCAUCAGAAAACAGCUUAUUGCAAGCCUUCCUAAAUCAGAAGCAACUGCUAGUCUAGAACCCUUCCCUGUUUAGGGAAGUUUUUAAUGUUUGAUUCUAUUUUUAAUAUUCUGUUGCGAGCCACCCAAAGU